rnacentral:rRNA from 1 species
CGGGAAGGCUAAGGGAACCCAGGCGAUGGUAGUCCUGGGUCAAGCAUGUAGGGGUGGCCGAUGAAAAAUGCGCGGCCGCAUAACCUGAGGUGCGAUGACAGCUGGCUCAAAGCCGGCGAGUCCCUGACGCCAUGCCUCCGAGAAAAGCCUCUAGGGAGAGCGCGCGUGCCCGUACCAAAACCGACACAGGUGGGCAAGUAGAGAAUACUAAGGUGAUCGAGAUAACCAUCGUUAAGGAACUCGGCAAAAUCGCUCCGUAACUUCGGGAUAAGGAGCGCCCCAGUAGGGUGAAGCACCUCGCGUGCGGAGCCUGAGAGGGCCGCAGUGAAUAGGUUCAACCGACUGUUUACCAAAAACACAGGGCUCUGCUAAGUCGCAAGACGACGUAUAGGGUCUGACGCCUGCCCGGUGCCGGAAGGUUACGUGGAGGUGUUAGCUGCAAGGCGAAGCACUGAAACUAAGCCCCGGUAAACGGCGGCGGUAACAAUAACCGUCCUAAGGUAGCGAAAUUCCUUGUCGGGUAAGUUCCGACCUGCACGAAUGGCGUAACGAGUUGAACGCUGUCUCAACGAUGGGCUCGGUGAAAUUGCAGUCUCGGUGAAGAUGCCGAGUACCCGUGGCUAGACGGAAAGACCCCGUGAACCUUUACUACAACCUGGUAUUGGAGUGCGGUGCAUCUCGCUCAGGAUAGGAGGGAGUCUUUGAAGCAUCGGCUGCGGCUGGUGUGGAGACAACCUUGAGAUACCUCCCUUGAUGUAUUGUGCUUCUAACACUGCGCCGUAAUCCGGGCAGUGAACAGUGCCAGGCGGGUAGUUUGACUGGGGCGGUCGCCUCCCAAAAUGUAACGGAGGCGCGCAAAGGUUCCCUCAGUACGGUUGGAAAUCGUACGUAGAGUGCAAAAGCAGUAAGGGAGCUUGACUGUGAGACCGACAGGUCGAGCAGGUGCGAAAGCAGGCUUUAGUGAUCCGGCAGUAGCAAGUGGAAGUGCUGUCGCUCAACGGAUAAAAGGUACUCCGGGGAUAACAGGCUUAUCGAGUCCAAGAGUCCACAUCGACGACUCGGUUUGGCACCUCGAUGUCGGCUCGUCGCAUCCUGGGGCUGAAGUAGGUCCCAAGGGUUGGGCUGUUCGCCCAUUAAAGCGGUACGCGAGCUGGGUUCAGAACGUCGUGAGACAGUUCGGUCCCUAUCUGCCAUGGGCGUUGGAGAAUUGAAAGGAUUCGUCCCUAGUACGAGAGGACCGGGAUGAACGCACCUCUGGUGUAUCUGUUGUCCUGCCAAGGGCAUCGCAGGUUAGCUACGUGCGGAUCGGAUAACCGCUGAAGGCAUCUAAGCGGGAAGCCGGCCUUGAGAUGAAUUCUCCCACCUCCUUGAGAGGGUAAGACCCCUAGUAGACCACUAGGUUGAUAGGCCGGAUCUGGAAGGACGGUAACGUCCGUAGGAGACCGGUACUAAUGGGUCGAGGGCUUGACGG